UACGGGGGGGGCAAGCGUUGUUCGGAAUUACUGGGCGUAAAGGGCUCGUAGGCGGCCAACUAAGUCGGAUGUGAAAUCCCCAGGCUUAACCUGGGAACUGCAUCCGAUACUGGAUGGCUUGAAUCCGGGAGAGGGAUGCAGAAUUCCAGGUGUAGCGGUGAAAUGCGUAGAUAUCAGGAGGAACACCGGUGGCGAAGGCGGUUCUCUGGGCCUUACCUGACGCUGAGGAGCGAAAGCAUGGGGAGCAAACAGG
rnacentral:rRNA from 1 species